rnacentral:rRNA from 1 species
UACGUAGGGGGCAAGCGUUGUCCGGAUUUAUUGGGCGUAAAGAGCGUGUAGGCGGCCAGGUAGGUGGGUUGUGAAAACUGGAGGCUCAACCUUCAGAGGUCGACCGAAACCCCCUGGCUAGAGUCCGGGAGAGGAGAGUGGAAUUCCUGGUGUAGCGGUGAAAUGCGCAGAUAUCAGGAAGAACACCCGUGGCGAAAGCGGCUCUCUGGAACGGUACUGACGCUGAGACGCGAAAGCGUGGGGAGCGAACAGG